ACAUUGGCACUGAGUAGGACAAGACC
rnacentral:piRNA from 1 species